AAAAGAAGGUAUAAAAACGAAAGGACCUCGUGGUCUAGGGGAGCAUAGGGCUCUGCCCAAUGAUGUAUAGUCCCUUUCCACAAUGUUAGCUAUGAAGCCAGGUUUUGUGUCUGCACCUGUGGACAAUGACUGGGGAGAUAAACCAUGCAGGAAAUGGUA
rnacentral:snoRNA from 1 species